UCCACGCCGUAAACGAUGUCUACUAGCCGUUGGGGGGCUUGUCCCUUUAGUGGCGCAGCUAACGCGAUAAGUAGACCGCCUGGGGAGUACGGUCGCAAGAUUAAAACUCAAAGGAAUUGACGGGGGCCCGCACAAGCGGUGGAGCAUGUGGUUUAAUUCGAUGCAACGCGAAGAACCUUACCAGGUCUUGACAUCCCGAGAAGUUACCAGAGAUGGUUUCGUGCCUUCGGGAA
rnacentral:rRNA from 1 species